GCUGGGCGUGGUGGCGCGCGCCUGUAAUCCCAGCUACUUAGGAGACUGAGGCAGGAGAAUCGCUUGAACCCGGGAGGCGGAGGUUGUAGUGAGCCAAGAUUGCACCACUGCACUCCAGCCUGGGCGACAGAGUGAGACCCUGUCUCCA
rnacentral:SRP_RNA from 2 species